GCAAGUCGAACGGUAACAGGAAACAGCUUGCUGUUUCGCUGACGAGUGGCGGACGGGUGAGUAAUGUCUGGGAAACUGCCUGAUGGAGGGGGAUAACUACUGGAAACGGUAGCUAAUACCGCAUAACGUCGCAAGACCAAAGAGGGGGACCUUCGGGCCUCUUGCCAUCGGAUGUGCCCAGAUGGGAUUAGCUUGUUGGUGGGGUAACGGCUCACCAAGGCGACGAUCCCUAGCUGGUCUGAGAGGAUGACCAGCCACACUGGAACUGAGACACGGUCCAGACUCCUACGGGAGGCAGCAGUGGGGAAUAUUGCACAAUGGGCGCAAGCCUGAUGCAGCCAUGCCGCGUGUAUGAAGAAGGCCUUCGGGUUGUAAAGUACUUUCAGCGGGGAGGAAGGGAGUAAAGUUAAUACCUUUGCUCAUUGACGUUACCCGCAGAAGAAGCACCGGCUAACUCCGUGCCAGCAGCCGCGGUAAUACGGAGGGUGCAAGCGUUAAUCGGAAUUACUGGGCGUAAAGCGCACGCAGGCGGUUUGUUAAGUCAGAUGUGAAAUCCCCGGGCUCAACCUGGGAACUGCAUCUGAUACUGGCAAGCUUGAGUCUCGUAGAGGGGGGUAGAAUUCCAGGUGUAGCGGUGAAAUGCGUAGAGAUCUGGAGGAAUACCGGUGGCGAAGGCGGCCCCCUGGACGAAGACUGACGCUCAGGUGCGAAAGCGUGGGGAGCAAACAGGAUUAGAUACCCUGGUAGUCCACGCCGUAAACGAUGUCGACUUGGAGGUUGUGCCCUUGAGGCGUGGCUUCCGGAGCUAACGCGUUAAGUCGACCGCCUGGGGAGUACGGCCGCAAGGUUAAAACUCAAAUGAAUUGACGGGGGCCCGCACAAGCGGUGGAGCAUGUGGUUUAAUUCGAUGCAACGCGAAGAACCUUACCUGGUCUUGACAUCCACGGAAGUUUUCAGAGAUGAGAAUGUGCCUUCGGGAACCGUGAGACAGGUGCUGCAUGGCUGUCGUCAGCUCGUGUUGUGAAAUGUUGGGUUAAGUCCCGCAACGAGCGCAACCCUUAUCCUUUGUUGCCAGCGGUCCGGCCGGGAACUCAAAGGAGACUGCCAGUGAUAAACUGGAGGAAGGUGGGGAUGACGUCAAGUCAUCAUGGCCCUUACGACCAGGGCUACACACGUGCUACAAUGGCGCAUACAAAGAGAAGCGACCUCGCGAGAGCAAGCGGACCUCAUAAAGUGCGUCGUAGUCCGGAUUGGAGUCUGCAACUCGACUCCAUGAAGUCGGAAUCGCUAGUAAUCGUGGAUCAGAAUGCCACGGUGAAUACGUUCCCGGGCCUUGUACACACCGCCCGUCACACCAUGGGAGUGGGUUGCAAAAGAAGUAGGUAGCUUAACCUUCGGGAGGGCGCUUACCACUUUGUGAUUCAUGACUGGGGUGAAGUCGUAACAAGGUAACCGUAGGGGAACCUGCGGUUGGAUCACCUCCUU
rnacentral:rRNA from 1 species